rnacentral:tRNA from 1 species
GAAACUUCCAUAAAACUAGACUUCUAAUCUAGUCCCAAGCAAUAUUGUUUAAGUUUCU